AGUGAACGCUGGCGGUAGGCCUAACACAUGCAAGUCGAACGGCAGCACAGUAAGAGCUUGCUCUUACGGGUGGCGAGUGGCGGACGGGUGAGGAAUACAUCGGAAUCUACUUUUUCGUGGGGGAUAACGUAGGGAAACUUACGCUAAUACCGCAUACGACCUACGGGUGAAAGCAGGGGAUCUUCGUACCUUGCACGAUUGAAUGAGCCGGUGUCGGAUUAGCUAGUUGGCGGGGUAAAGGCCCACCAAGGCGACGAUCCGUAGCUGGUCUGAGAGGAUGAUCAGCCACACUGGAACUGAGACACGGUCCAGACUCCUACGGGAGGCAGCAGUGGGGAAUAUUGGACAAUGGGCGCAAGCCUGAUCCAGCCAUACCGCGUGGGUGAAGAAGGCCUUCGGGUUGUAAAGCCCUUUUGUUGGGAAAGAAAAGCAGCAGGUUAAUACCCCGCUGUUCUGACGGUACCCAAAGAAUAAGCACCGGCUAACUUCGUG
rnacentral:rRNA from 1 species